ACGGGUGAGUAACACGUGGGAACGUACCCUUCGGUUCGGAAUAACGCUGGGAAACUAGCGCUAAUACCGGAUACGCCCUUAUGGGGAAAGGUUUACUGCCGAAGGAUCGGCCCGCGUCUGAUUAGCUAGUUGGUGGGGUAAUGGCCUACCAAGGCGACGAUCAGUAGCUGGUCUGAGAGGAUGAUCAGCCACACUGGGACUGAGACACGGCCCAGACUCCUACGGGAGGCAGCAGUGGGGAAUAUUGGACAAUGGGCGCAAGCCUGAUCCAGCCAUGCCGCGUGAGUGAUGAAGGCCUUAGGGUUGUAAAGCUCUUUUGUCCGGGACGAUAAUGACGGUACCGGAAGAAUAAGCCCCGGCUAACUUCGUGCCAGCAGCCGCGGUAAUACGAAGGGGGCUAGCGUUGCUCGGAAUCACUGGGCGUAAAGGGCGCGUAGGCGGCCAUUCAAGUCGGGGGUGAAAGCCUGUGGCUCAACCACAGAAUUGCCUUCGAUACUGUUUGGCUUGAGUAUGGCAGAGGUUAGUGGAACUGCGAGUGUGGAGGUGAAAUUCGUAGA
rnacentral:rRNA from 1 species